rnacentral:rRNA from 1 species
GGUUGACCUACGGAUAUCA